AUUGCAGGAUAGUGUGUAUCGGUGUUAUGCCCUCCUAAGAUGGAUUUCUUGCCGAAAGUGUUUCCUGCUACAGUAAUUUCGGGGAAAAUGGGCAGUUGAGUUAAACCCUAGUCUAUUGGGUAUCUCAACAAUCAUUUUCCUCAUACUU